rnacentral:rRNA from 1 species
GGCGCACGGGUGCGUAACGCGUGGGAACCUGCCUUUAGGUUCGGAAUAACUCAGAGAAAUUUGAGCUAAUACCGGAUAAUGUCUUCGGACCAAAGAUUUAUCGCCUUUAGAUGGGCCCGCGUUAGAUUAGAUAGUUGGUGGGGUAAUGGCCUACCAAGUCGACGAUCUAUAGCUGGUCUGAGAGGAUGAUCAGCCACACUGGGACUGAGACACGGCCCAGACUCCUACGGGAGGCAGCAGUGGGGAAUAUUGGACAAUGGGCGAAAGCCUGAUCCAGCAAUGCCGCGUGAGUGAUGAAGGCCUUAGGGUUGUAAAGCUCUUUUACCAGGGAUGAUAAUGACAGUACCUGGAGAAUAAGCUCCGGCUAACUCCGUGCCAGCAGCCGCGGUAAUACGGAGGGAGCUAGCGUUGUUCGGAAUUACUGGGCGUAAAGCGCGCGUAGGCGGCUUUUCAAGUCAGGGGUGAAAUCCCGGGGCUCAACCCCGGAACUGCCCUUGAAACUGGAUGGCUAGAAUACUGGAGAGGUGAGUGGAAUUCCGAGUGUAGA